rnacentral:rRNA from 1 species
AGCGUGGAGACAGGUGGUGCAUGGCUGUCGUCAGCUCGUGUCGUGAGAUGUUGGGUUAAGUCCCGCAACGAGCGCAACCCUCACCCCUUGUUGCUACCAGGUAAAGCCGGGCACUCUAGGGGAACUGCCCCGGUCAACGGGGAGGAAGGCGGGGAUGACGUCAAGUCGUCAUGCCCCUUACGUCCUGGGCUACACACGUGCUACAAUGGCCGGUACAAAGGGAUGCAACACCGCGAGGUAGAGCUAAACCCAAAAAGCCGGUCUAAGUUCAGAUUGGAGUCUGCAACUCGACUCCAUGAAGGAGGAAUCGCUAGUAAUCGCGUAUCAGCACGACGCGGUGAAUACGUUCCCGGGCCUUGUACACACCGCCCGUCACACCACGAAAGCCAGCUGUACUCGAAGUCGCUGAG